rnacentral:rRNA from 1 species
AGAGUUUGAUCCUGGCUCAGGACGAACGCUGGCGGCGUGCCUAAUACAUGCAAGUCGAGCGAAUUGAUGGGAGCUUGCUCCCUGAAAUUAGCGGCGGACGGGUGAGUAACACGUGGGUAACCUGCCUGUAAGAUCGGGAUAACUCCGGGAAACCGGAGCUAAUACCGGAUAAUAUUUUGAACCGCAUGGUUCAAAAUUGAAAGAUGGUUUCGGCUAUCACUUACAGAUGGACCCGCGGCGCAUUAGCUAGUUGGUGAGGUAACGGCUCACCAAGGCAACGAUGCGUAGCCGACCUGAGAGGGUGAUCGGCCACACUGGGACUGAGACACGGCCCAGACUCCUACGGGAGGCAGCAGUAGGGAAUCUUCCGCAAUGGACGAAAGUCUGACGGAGCAACGCCGCGUGAACGAUGAAGGCCUUCGGGUCGUAAAGUUCUGUUGUUAGGGAAGAACAAGUACCAGAGUAACUGCUGGUACCUUGACGGUACCUAACCAGAAAGCCACGGCUAACUACGUGCCAGCAGCCGCGGUA